UACGUAGGGUGCGAGCGUUGUCCGGAAUUACUGGGCGUAAAGAGCUCGUAGGUGGUUUGUCGCGUUGUUCGUGAAAUGCCACAGCUUAACUGUGGGCGUGCGGGCGAUACGGGCAGACUGGAGUACUGCAGGGGAGACUGGAAUUCCUGGUGUAGCGGUGGAAUGCGCAGAUAUCAGGAGGAACACCGGUGGCGAAGGCGGGUCUCUGGGCAGUAACUGACGCUGAGGAACGAAAGCGUGGGGAGCGAACAGG
rnacentral:rRNA from 1 species